rnacentral:lncRNA from 1 species
AUGCUGUCGGCCGAGCACCACAUAAGGCAGGCCCCGCGAUCACAGGCUCCCAGGAAAGUUUCCAAGCCUUCAUGUGCUGCGUGCUUUGCCUCCGGCUGCCAAGAGGAUGAAUUUUUUUUGCUUUUCGCCCUGGGGAUGCUUUUCCUAAAAGCACACAGCUCUCAAACAGGAGGGGAAGGGAGGGUUCGGGAUAAAGAUGAGUCUAUUCUGUGCACCGAAACAUUUCCCCAGGACUUGAGCGAACGUCGCUGCCCCACUGCCUCCUCCCUCGUCUCCUGCCUCUGCUGGAGCAGACACAAAGAGCCGGCUCCCAGCCGUGCCUCUCCCCACGGCGGGGCUGGGGGGGGGCUGCGCCUCCCUGCAGCUGGCUCAAAGCUGGCUGAGCGGGGUGGCAAAACGGGCGCUACGUGCCCCGGGAACGGGAUCCGGGCUCUGCCUUUUGGGUGGGGGCGCAGGGCUCUGCCGCUGAAACUCAGAAAACCUCGCUGGACAUCACCCCUGGGGCACCGAGAAGUUGUGUGGCUACGCUGUGCCACCUGGCUCACCGCUCGGGACCUCAGCAGCCCCCUGCCCCGUUCCCCUGCAGCCCCCUGCCCCGUUCCCCUGCAGACCCCGCUGGAAACCAGGAGCUCAGCACCCCGGUGCCCGCGGUGCACGAAGCGCCGGGAGCAGCCCCAGCUCCGGAGGUGUGCGCUCUCCUCCCGGCCUCUCUCCCCCUCCUCGCACACUUUUCCUGCUGCUUUCCCAGGCAGGGGAUUGCCCAGGGCACGGCUCGGGCUGCGCAGCCCCCCCUGGCCCCCCCCAGCUCUCCUACCAGGCUGGAGAGCAAGACCCGAGCCUGUGUGUGGUUGGGAGCGCAGGUUGGAGCAGGGGGGGGACCAGGGGGUCCUCGCUCGCCCCCACAGAAAGCGCCUGGCAGCAGCCCCAACGCCGCCGCGCACGGGACUUUCUUCUGGCUCGCAGCCCCUUCCACCCCUAGCCUUUCCCCAUGCUGAGCAAAACUCCUGCGAAAUAAAAGGGAAAAGGGAAAGGAAACAAAAGACUCCAGCUGCUGAAGAACAGAAAACCCAACAGAGGAGAGAGAAAAGGACCGGCAAACGCCGCUGUGCGUGUAAGAGAGGCCGGAGAGGGCAGGAGCGUCGUGGACCAGUGCAGCAUCCAGGCUCGACCAGGUACUCAGCUGGGCACUGA